rnacentral:lncRNA from 1 species
GUGGUUGACCUUGUCUGCUGGCCUGCCUGAGCCAUAAACCCCUGGGGCGACUUUGGCCUGUGAGCCUGGAGAGGCUUCUGGUCCUGGGGGUGGUGCCCUGAAUGUGGAGUCGCAAAACCCUAACACCUGUUCCAGAUCUGCGGGGCAGCAUCAGAUAAGCAAACUAAGGCUUGGAGAGCUGAGAGCUGAGAUCACAGGCCCAGGCUGUAAGAGGGAAGGUGGGACCAGAAAGAAUCCACAUUGCUCUCACCACCUCAAGAACUCUGAGGGCUGUGCUCACCGCUGUUCUGAAGCAUCACUUCCGCUCUGAAGAUCAGGGCAGCCCGAUUUCCCACGCGAGAGCGGAUAGGGCUGCCCCUGGGAUCUGAGCCAUGUCUGUGACCUACCCCACAGCUCACGACCAUGCUGGAUCCUUAACCAACUGAGCAAGGAGAGGGAUCGAACCCUCACCCUCCUGGAUACUAGUUGGGUUCAUUACUGCCGAGCCACAACAGGAACUCCUCUUUAGUUCUUGUUUUAUUCAUUCAUUCAUUCAUUCAUUCAUUUACUUAUUUAUUAUGGCCCCAGAGUGGCUUAUGGAAGUUCCUCGGCCAGGGGCCUGAAUCCACAGCCACUCCAGAUCCUUUAACCCACUGCUCCGGGAUGGGAAUUGAACCCACGCCUCUGCAGUGACUGGAGCUGCUGUAGUCGGAUUCUUAACCCACUGUGUCACAGCAGGAACUCCUUGUUUCCUUGAUUUAAGUCCUCUUGUCUCCCCUCAUGACCGGCAGAGCUCUUCCUCCUGCUGCCCUGACCUGCUUCGAGGUCAGACGCUAUGACACCUCCUCCAGGAAGCCCUUCCUGGUUUCCACUGCCUGCGGAGACCCCAGUCUUCGGAGAGUCCCAGAGCCUGCCUCUCAGAGCCUCUCGUCUGGCUUUCAGGGUGCAAAGCCCCUCCUCCCGCAGGUGCCAUGUCCCCACAGGGCACUCCCGCCCAGUUCAGCCUCCGCCCUGGCCCCUUUGAGACUCCCCAGCACCAGCAGGAUAAAUCACCCUCUUCUCUGGGCUAGGCUGGGCCUUUGGGUUUGUUCUGUUGCCCCCUCGUUCCGCAUCUGCCUCCUGCGGGCUGGUCAUCACGCAGACGGGAUUGAAGAAGGCAUGUCCCCCCGGCCUCCCUCUCAGGGUGGAGCAGCCAUCAUUCCUGGUGCUCAGCUGCCCGGAAGUCUCCCUUUCAUCCUCGUGAUGGUUAAUUUCAUGUGUCCACUUGCCUGGGCUAAGGGAUGUCCAGACAGCUGGUCACACAUCACUUCUGGGUGUGUCUGUGUGGAAGGUUCCAGAAGAGAGGAGCACUGGAAUCGAUGGACUGAGUGAAGAAGUAGAUGGGCAUCACCCGUUCCCCGAGGACGCAAACAGAACAUAAAGAUGAGCCACGUGCUCUCUGAGCUGGGACCUCCGCCUUCUGCUUUUGGGCAUCACGCUUCUAAGCUCCGCAGAACUUUAGACCCAGACUGAAUUCUACCACCCACUUUCCUGCUUCUCCAGCUUGCAGAUGACAGACUGCGGGGGUUUGGAGCCUCAUAAUUGCAGGAACUAAUUCUUGUACUAAAUGUAUAUAAAAUGUAUGUUUAUAUAGAAAA